CAGUCGCCGCGGUAAUGCGUAGGGUGCGAGCGUUAAUCGGAAUUACUGGGUGUAAAGCGUGCGCAGGCGGUUAUAUAAGACAGAUGUGAAAUCCCCGGGCUCAACCUGGGACCUGCAUUUGUGACUGUAUAGCUAGAGUACGGUAGAGGGGGAUGGAAUUCCGCGUGUAGCAGUGAAAUGCGUAGAGAUGUGGAGGAACACCGAUGGCGAAGGCAAUCCCCUGGACCUGUACUGACGCUCAUGCACGAAAGCGUGGGGAGCAAACAGGAUUAGAUACCCCCGUAGUCCCUGUCUCUUAUAA
rnacentral:rRNA from 1 species